rnacentral:lncRNA from 1 species
AAAAAAGUGAAAGUGAUAAAUGCAUAUAUGAAUUUAUGUAUAAUUAUAAAUAAAAAGAAUGGAGAUGUAUAAAUAAAUAAUUCUUUUGAUGACGAGCAAUGAUAAAAAAAACGUCUAAAAGUGUAAUUCUUUGAAAAAAAGAACAAAAAUGGAAAACACUAACAAUGAAUGCAAAUAAAUGUGUGUCAAUGAGUUCUUGUACUAAUAAGAAAAACAACACUACAGGAAAAUUUUAUUUUUUAAAUUUUCUGUAUUUAAACUUAAAUAUUAGCAAAUAUACAAAACUUUUACAAACAACUACAUAUCUGAAAGAAAAUACAACACCACUUUAGCUUAAAUGUAAUUUAAACUAAAUAAACCACAGAUUAUAGAUACAUCAGAAACAACUACAAGCAUCAACAAGAGCAACGUCAUCAACAUUAUCAAACAAACAACAGUAGCAACAUUAUUGUCAUGGUACUUGAAUGUUAAAAACAACAACAACAACAACGAAAACUAAAACUAAACAAUAAUGCACAUUACAUGCUCGAUUUAUUGUUCCACUCAAGAAACUAGGGACAAAAACAGCUACAGCAGCUGCCAAAGCAUUUUAGGUGGGAAAUAUAAAAAAAUUCAAACACAACAAUAGAUAUCAAGUGUAUUUAUACAAUAAUUUAAGCAAAAGUAUGUGGAAAAUCUUUAGAAAAAAAUUGUAUUAAAUUUCACAUCAAACUUACCAGCAAAAAGAAUAACAUUUAUCACCAUUUCAAAAGUAGCAUUAAGUGAAUAUUUCAACUUCUGUGGAAGUGAUGUUUCUUGAAUUCCAAAGACGUGAAGAAAACGCUCUUUUGCAUUUAACGUGACUAUAUAAUGAUUUGAAAAUUAAACCUGAUUGCUAUUAUUCGAACUAAAUUGAAUUGAUUUAUUGCUGAAGUUUAAAACCAAAAAAAAAUGCAAAAAUAGAAAGCUUAUAGAUCAUCGAAUAUUAAAAUAACUACAACUAAUAACAAGACUGUAUUGGAACACACAUCAGGAUUUGCAACAAAUCACAAGCUGUCUACAACAAUAGAUACAUUUGAAGCAGAAACAACACUAGACUUCAGGGAAAUCAAGUACAUGCGAACAAAAAGAAACAUUUUAUAAAAUAUUGUGUAAACAGACAUCAGACUUGUUAGCACAUAUGAAAAAUGAUGAAACUAAACUACCGUACAUCAAAUGCCAUAACGUUGAUGCCGCAAUUGCUGCUGUCACUGUAAGAACAACAACAAAUUUGUCACAAACAUUCCGUUGUACACUUGAAUAUACUUCAACAACGGCAAAGAUUUCAACAAAAAAUUUAACAAUAUAGUUGUUAUAAUAUUGAUAUCCCUGAGUAUUUUUAGAAUCCAUCCAGUCGCACUUCCACUGUCACUAGUAACCAACAACAUCAAAAAACUUUACUCAACAACAAUAGAAAUGACAUUUUGUUAAUAGCUCUGACAGCAGUAGCAGUCAUUUUAGUAGCAUCUGCAAUAACAAAGACCUGCCACCCAUACGACACGAGAUUUUUAUUUAAGUCGAAAUAUUAACUGAGAUAGUGAUUCCUGUUUCGAAUAACUUCUUCUUAAUUCACCAACAACAUUGUCUGUCUUAAGUUAUGUUGAUUUAACCACCUUAAAUGGAGAUCUCGGAGUGCCGUUCAAAGGCUUUAAUUGGAGUUUUUUAUUUGUCAUAUAUCAAUAAUAUGAUAAUUGCCGAUAGCUCUGGAUUGACAUUUACAAAAUGUCACUAACUAUUUUCUAUUGCAAAUGUCAAUUUCUAAGCGAUUUGUUGGAUCCCUUCCCGCUAUCGUGUCGUGGCUAAGAGAAAAAGUGCUCUAAGUUUUUCUAUAUUUAACCUCCUUAAGACUGAUAAAGUACUUUUUUUAACUUUUUUAAGUUAAAUUUUUAAUGGUAUAAUCAAAUGUACUAAUAAUUAUUUUAAUAAAAAUUUUAUAUUAUUUUUAAAAUGGUGUCAUAGCAUCAAAUUUGAAUACUAAUUAAGAAAUACAGAUUUAUAUAUGGAAUAAAAAAAAAUAAAUGUGCAUAAAUAUUAUAAACAAUCGCAGAACA